CCUACGGGAGGCUGCAGUGGGGAAUAUUGGACAAUGGGGGGAACCCUGAUCCAGCCAUGCCGCGUGUGUGAAGAAGGCCCUCGGGUUGUAAAGCACUUUCAGUGAGGAAGAACGCCUGGUGGUUAAUACCCAUCAGGAAAGACAUCACUCACAGAAGAAGCACCGGCUAACUCCGUGCCAGCAGCCGCGGUAAUACGGAGGGUGCGAGCGUUAAUCGGAAUUACUGGGCAUAAAGCGCGCGUAGGUGGCUUGAUAAGCCGGUUGUGAAAGCCCCGGGCUCAACCUGGGAACGGCAUCCGGAACUGUCAAGCUAGAGUGCAGGAGAGGAAGGUAGAAUUCCCGGUGUAGCGGUGAAAUGCGUAGAGAUCGGGAGGAAAACCAGUGGCGAAGGCGGCCUUCUGGACUGACACUGACACUGAGGUGCGAAAGCGUGGGUAGCAAACAGGAUUAGAUACCCUGGUAGUA
rnacentral:rRNA from 1 species